CACAGUGUAGCUUAAUAUAAAGUUUCUGGCCUACACCCAGAAGAUUCCACUAAAUGGACACUUUGA
rnacentral:tRNA from 2 species